rnacentral:rRNA from 1 species
UACGUAGGGUGCAAGCGUUGUCCGGAAUUAUUGGGCGUAAAGAGCUCGUAGGCGGUUUGUUGCGUCGGCUGUGAAAUCCCGAGGCUCAACCUCGGGUCUGCAGUCGAUACGAGCAAACUAGAGUGUUGCAGGGGAGACUGGAAUUCCCGGUGUAGCGGUGAAAUGCGCAGAUAUCGGGAGGAACACCGGUGGCGAAGGCGGUUCUCUGGGCCUGACCUGACGCUGAGGAGCGAAAGCGUGGGGAGCGAACAGG